rnacentral:rRNA from 1 species
GAUCAUGGCUCAGGAUGAACGCUAGCGGCAGGCUUAACACAUGCAAGUCGAGGGGUAUUGGUUUUCGGACCAAGAGACCGGCGCACGGGUGCGUAACGCGUAUGCAAUCUACCUUUGCAGAGGGAUAGCCCAGAGAAAUUUGGAUUAAAUACCUCAUAGUAUAGUACUUUGGCAUCAAGGAACUAUUAAAGUCACAACGGCAAAAGAUGAGCAUGCGUCCCAUUAGCUAGUUGGUGGGGUAAAGGCCUACCAAGGCGACGAUCCAUAGCUGGUCUGAGACGGAUGAUCAGCCACACUGGGACUGAGACACGGCCCAGACUCCUACGGAGGCAGCAGUGGGGAAUAUUGGACAAUGGGCGAAAGCCUGAUCCAGCAAUGCCGCGUGAGUGAUGAAGGCCUUAGGGUUGUAAAGCUCUUUUACCCGAGAUGAUAAUGACAGUAUCGGGAGAAUAAGCUCCGGCUAACUCCGUG